rnacentral:rRNA from 1 species
GACGAACGCUGGCGGCGUGCUUAACACAUGCAAGUCGAACGGAAAGGCCCUGCUUUUGUUGGGUGCUCGAGUGGCGAACGGGUGAGUAACACGUGAGUAACCUGCCCUUGACUUUGGGAUAACUUCAGGAAACUGGGGCUAAUACCAGAUAGGAGCUCCUGCUGCAUGGUGGGGGUUGGAAAGUUUCGGCGGUUGGGGAUGGACUCGCGGCUUAUCAGCUUGUUGGUGGGGUAGUGGCUUACCAAGGCUUUGACGGGUAGCCGGCCUGAGAGGGUGACCGGCCACAUUGGGACUGAGCUACGGCACAGAGUCCUACGGGAGGCAGCAGUGGGGAAGAUUGCACAAUGGGCGGAAGCCUGAUGCAGCAACGCCGCGUGCGGGAUGACGGCCUUCGGGUUGUAAACCGCUUUCGCCUGUGACGAAGCGUGAGUGACGGUAAUGGGUAAAGAAGCACCGGCUAACUACGUG